CUAAAAGGGAGUCUUAUUAACAGGGAGCGAACUUUGCUGCCUGUGGCGUGCUCUUGAAACCUGCCUUGAGGUUCUUCGUGCCCAAAUGAAAUGGGAGGGUUUGUGAGGAAAAGGAAAGCAGAGCAGGCACUGCUCCGGGAGCAAGAUGAGCACCCACCAACCUCCUGUAUGGCCCAGAGGUUGCACCCAAGCCUGCAAAAUGUUGUGCAGAACCCGUUUGGGCCUUUAAUUAACUCAUGUCUGUCUUUGUGCUCCCUCUGCAGCAAGAUCAGCUGCUGGCUGGCGGCCUGGGAAGGGCGAGGUGUCCAUUUUGCACCCUAUCUGCUUGUGAGGAGUGCUGGCCUGCAACCGGGCCUCUCUGUGCAGCUGCUUCCCUGUGCUGUUUGAGGAAAGGCAGCCCAUUUCUGUCAUGCUCUGAGCUUCUUCCUGUGGUGUGGGCUGCGAAGGGACCACGGAGGGCUGUGAGGGUGUCCCUCCAGGUGAUCUGCAGGUGUGACAUGGCCACCAGGGCCUCCCCUGCCAGCCAGCUCCCCAGGAGCUGUGGUUAGCAGCAGUGUGCCAGCAGGCAGCGAGGCCAGGCUGUGUUGGCAGGCAGGCUGUGGGCUUGGCAGCCUGUCCCGAGGUUUACAGAGCUGCCUGUUGGUUUGUCCCACGUCUCCCUCGGAGGCUGCAGCAGCAGAUGGCACUCUGUGUCCGCGUGCCAUCCCUGUGGGCAGGAGGUGGCCCCUCCAGGGUCAGCGAGGCAUGGAGCAGCUCCCUGACCUCCAGCCCUCUUUCCACAGCAAGACCUGGACUGGGGUGAUGGAAAGAUUUGGGCCUGAUGGAGGAAACGAGGAGGCACUCGGCGCAACGAGCAGCAAAUAUAGAUCAAACAGCAGGAAAUCCGCUCUCUGGCGGCUCAGGAGGGCCACGCAGUGGAAAGCCCUGGUCCAGCAGGAGGUCAUCCAAGACAAACAUGGAGCUGCUUUGUGGGGCGGCCCGGCUGGCGGGCAGGAUGGGCAGGCAUUCUGCUUCACUGCCAUCCCUGCAGGCGGUCAGGGAGGAGGUAUCCCAGCCCGUGGUAGGGAGAAGGAGCCCUUCUCACCAGUGCCUGAAGCGGUCUGCUGGGUUCUGUCAGCAGAAUGAGUUGUUUGCCAGCCUGAGUGGCAUCAGUGCGGAAGCAUAGAAUGGCUCAAGUUGGAAGGGACCUUAAAGAUCAUUGAGCUCCAAGCCUCAGCAGUUCUGCAUGUCCUCCUCAGGGAGGCUGGCUCCAAACACAGCCUGGCUUUGUUCUGUUCCAGUGGGAAUGGUUGUAUGUAUGCAAACUUAGACUUAAAUGUCCCACAGGGACGUGAUGCUCAUACAAGCAACUGCUCACCAAAAUGAACAGAGAGUUGGGUGGUACCUCUUGCAUUGCUGUGGCACCACCAGCACUGAUGUGUAGUGGCUUUUCCCAGGUGGAGAUCAAAGAAGUAGAGAUCGAAGACUCAUGAGCACUCUUGGAUGGCAUGUCCUACUGGCUUCCAGGGGGUAGGAAGGGGCAGAGAUUGAAUUGAGGGGUGUUUCCUCCCCAGUUUCUUUGUUGGAUGAAACUUGGGCUUGCCCAAAUGCUCUUGGACAGUCAUUUGGUAGUCAGUGCGUAACCAUCCUGUCACCCCUACUUGUGUGCCUUGUUUCUGCAGGGUGGGACAGGAGGUUACAGCUAAAAAGGGAUUCACCCCAACAGGGAGAGCAGGCUUUGCAUCUUCAGGCUGUACCUGGGCCUUGAGCCAGCCCCAGGCAAGCUGAUGCCCAAAGAAACUGUGGAUUUGGAUUUCCCAUCCCUGGAGGUGCCCAAGGCCACAGACGGGCCCUGGGCAGUCUGAUUUGGUGGGGGGGCAGCCAGCCCAUGGCAGGGGGUGGGACCGAGUGGGCUUUGAAGUCCCUUCCAACCCAAACCAUUCUGUGGUUCUAUGAUUUCUAACUGGGAAGGUGACAGCUCCCUGGGAACCUGCCUGGGCGUUCACUUGCUCACGGAAACCUUUAUCAAGAGAGUGAAGGUGAUUGUCCGGGCCCCUUGAUGUCCUCGGGAGAUAGCCUGCAGGGAGGCUUUCUGACAGGCUGCGAUCUCAGCUAUUGCCCUUUGACAGCAGCAGAGAUAAAGACGCAUGAACAUCCUGCUCAGGAAACUCCCUCCUCCUCGUGCGUCGGUCCUUGAGUCUGAUAAAUGCAGGUGAGACCUCUGCUCGCCGCAGGCAGCCUGCUGUUUUGCUUCCAGCAAGCAGCUGUGCUACGUCUUGGCAGCACUUUAAGUUUGGAUUACUUAGUGCCCAUUUGUCCCCUGCCUUGGGACGGUCCCUUGUGGUGGUUAGGAGUCUUCUGACUUCCAGCACGAGAGCAUCUGUGGCCGGCUCCUUGCUCAUCUGUUCUUGAGCCAGAGGACAGGGCUGGCACAAACAGCUCUUCUCCCUGCCUGCGCUCCUCGAUGUUGAUUCGAAGUAGUCUUCCUUUGGCCUUGGGUUUCAGAGGGAUGCGUUUCAAAACCAGAAAUAAAUGGGCUUGAAAUACUUCCCAUCAUUUUGUUUUGCGAGAUCUUGACCCUCUGAUAGUGAGAUUAGAAGAAAGAUAACAAAAUCAGCAUUCAGGCUUGGACAACUGUUGUUAAGUAGGCAGCCCACUGAAGUCAGUGCUUCUUGUUUACAAAUGAACUCAUGAAUUUUUAGAUAUUAAUGUAUGAGGGAUUGAGUAAACAACCAUUGUGCCUCUAAGGAAUGAGUCCCAGGCUGUCCUGAGCUGGAAUACUUUGUACUUUCCUGAUUGCCUUCCAAGAAUUUCAAAUUACUUUGUAACAGAAAAACAAGUCUGCUUCACCAGACGUGUGUGAGGUUCUCGGGGCAGCCUUAAUUCAUCGGCACCGGGAUGCGGUUGGUUUGGGUUUUGGGGCAUGGCUGUGUAUCUGGGCGUGGGAUGCUGAGCAUGGAGGUGUUGUAGUGAGAUGUGGAUGGCACUUAGGCCAGCUGAGCCAUAAGGAACCUAUGAAAACUUUGCUGCAGCGUGGAGGUCAAUCUGUAGCCCUGUUGGUCCCCGUUCCCAGCUUGAUGGACACGGGGACGCACCGUACACUGGCCCAUCAAUGUGGCUAGUGGGAGAGGUGAAGGGACUACUGGCAUUCACAUAGCAGGUGAGGGUGAGCAGAGUACCCUGCUCCCCUAACCCACAGCCUUUUGGGAGCAGCUGGGAUACUCUUGGGUAUGGGUACAGAGGAGCAGCCCCAGGGACCAGGUGUUGAAAGGAUGCGUGGCCAGGGACGUUCCCUGUGCUCCAGACCAUGUUAUGAACCCACGGGCUCUCCAGGCUUGCUGAAGCAUUUCAGAACACAGUGGCCCUGGCCACAGGCUUUGGUACCCAUGCAAAUUGCCCCUUAUUUCUGGCUGUCCUAUGCUCAGCAAGUGCUCUUGGGGAGCAGCCAGCCCAUUGCUUUCAACCAAAAAUAACACUUGGGACCGGAGACAGGUAUGCUUGAAUGUCCCUGCCCAUCUGGGCUGCCCCAGUGUCAUGUAACUUAUGUUUGUGCUGUCCUGUCCCACACACCAUGUGGGUGCCUUGGUGAAGCAGGCAGGAUGGGGCUCUCGCUACCUGGGUCGUGCUUGGGUUUGGUUUUAAAGCCAGCAGCCUGGAGCUGUGGAAAGAGUCAUGAAUCCGGGUUACCAAACCAUCUGCUGGCUGCAUUUUAAAAAGCAAUUAAAGCAAAACUGUUUCCAGGCCUUCUGUUUGCAAGAUGUAGUUUAAAGAGAGCUAGCCAAGCCAGGAUUUGCCUGAUCCUGCCACAGCUCCAAGUAUGAGUUAAUUUGAUCUAAUCCCCGUGCUGUGAGGUGAGGAAAUCCCCACUGAGGAAGUGUGCAGGUAAGCAGGGCUGUUGGCACAGGGGUUUCUGUAACAAUGAAAUCCACAAGACUGGCAUUUGGAUUAUUAUUUUUAUUGCUUCUAAUCAGAAAUUGUUACACAGGGCUUAAAGAAACAAAUAAUAGGAUGCAAGAACCCUUCUGCAAGGUGGAGGAUGAUGAGUGUUGCUUGAAGGUAAUGGCAUCGAGAUGCCCUUGCAAAGAUGCUCCUGUGCUUGGCUUUGGAGACUUGCAGGAGGCAACCAUGGAACCUGGACCAUGCAUCCAAUAAGGAGGAGGGGAUGCUCAAUGCUCCUGUGAUCUCAAGCCUCUUGGCCAUGCCUCCUGUGGGACACAGAAGCUGUUUCCCUAUGGGAACAGUUUGCCCUGGUGCUUGUUGGCAAUUGUGCUGAACCUCUUGUGACUGCACCUUUGGUGCUUUGGGUGUAAGGCAGAGACAAGUGAGGUCUGAUGUUGUGGAGCUCACGCUUGGACCAAAGCAUCUCCUUUUUCUAGCAGGAGAAGGUGGCGAGCUUCCGUGCUAGGUCUUGAUGGAGGCUGGGGUGGCGUGAUGGUGGCUUGUGGUGUGGGGUCGAGUGUAAGGACCAUGAGGUUUGAGCAUCGCUAAUGGGCACGACCAGCUGAACUUAGCGUGAGAAGGGGAGGAUAACCCCAAUAAGCUCACAACAGGGGGGUCAUUCCUGGGGUGUGGGGAGAGAUGCUUCUUGGUUUAGAAGAAAAGAAGAAAAAAGCCCCGAGAACAGCACUGAGCUGAGACAGCCACUUAUGCAAGAGCUGGCAGUGGGGCUGGCCGCACCGAAAGGCAGCGGGUGCCAGCAGGGCGCGAGUGGCUCUGCAUCCUCCUGUUUGCUCAGCAGCUUUCGUGUGGCGGGGGAGCUGGGUUGAGGGCACGAGAUUCCUGCACACUGAACUCCUCUGUUCCUCUCAGCAGGGUAAACAGGACAAAAAACAAAGCCCCAAGCCAGCGCCCGCCUCCAAGGUAGCCUCCUGCCAGCCACCCUGGGGUGCGCGGAGGUGAUGGGGUCACCUUCAGCCUCUCCAGGAUGAUUUCUGGAUGCUAUUUCCCUGGGUAAGUGAGUGUUGUUCCUGGUGAGGAGCGGGCAGGACAAAUGGGGCAAAGCACCCCAGCGAGUAUGGAUGUGGAUCAGCUGCCCAGCCCUGCAUCCUUGGUGAGCUGAGGAUGGGUGUUCCCAUGGUGAGCCCAGGCUGUGGGCUGUGCAGAUGCUGGUCAGGUUGAGUGUCCCCUGUGAGGGUUGUAGGUGUCCCAGCAGUGCUGAGCCCUAUUAUAGGUACCACGAGGUGCAGGGAGCGAGGAGAGGUGAGUACUGCUCCUCUCUGCAAUGAGCUCUGCAUCAUUUUGCUCAGAAAGCUGCUCUUUAGCUGUAGUUCCCCUCUGGGGCAAGAUCCAAGCUCUCUUGUCCAUGUCAGUGACAGAGGGUGAUGGGGCUGACCUCAGCCCUUUCCCAACGUGGUAUUAGCUAAUCCAGCUCCCCAGCGACGCAGCUGUGGGGCUGGUCCAUUGCCAGCCCCAGCCCAUGCCAGCUCUCCUGCAUUUCCACAGAACUGUGAUUGCACCACUGCAGCCUUGCUCAGAGCAAGGUGAGAAGGAAGGAAGUUUGAAACACUAGAGAGUUUCCUUUCAAAUGGGAUUUGCAUCAAAGAAGCCCGUAUUUAGCUUGAUGCAGCUUGGUUUGCUGUAGGGCUGCCAGGAAAUGUUAAAGCAGCACGGUGGGAAGGUUGUUUUGGUGCUGCACAUCUGUCCUGUGUUGUCUGUCCUGGUCGCCCAUGGAGCCGUAUGAGAGCCGGGGUGCACUGGCCUGGAGUAGGGGAGGGAUGUGGGGGGCUGAGGAGUGACAUGCCUGAGCAGCAGCGGGUGCUGAGCUCCUCUGUACCCAUCGGGAUCUCAGGAGGAGGAGUCAAGUCUUGGGGCCGCUACCCAAACCUCUCUGCCUGGGGUUUGGUGAGAGCUGGCUUUCUCUGGGGAUUCCCACCCCAGGCUUGAUGGGUUGGAAAUACUGCAAGAGCAGCCCUUUUUUGUUGUUGUUUUUGUUUUUAUUCUCCUGAUGUUUGUGUCUUUCCACUUCCGUCCCUGGCCAAAGCAUGUGAUGCCAAGGCAAAAGAGGCAGGCACACCCAGCAGGGUAGGGGGAGGAGAGGGGUGCAAGUGCCUUUAACCCACAGGAAAAGGGAAACAGAAGGGAAAACCCAUAGCUGGCACCAAGGAGGCUUAAGCCAUGGUCUGUUCUGUCCAGACACAGGGAGUGACGUGGUGACCACCAGAAUGCAGAGCCCCAGGGCUGUGCCUCGGCACCGCAUGGGACAUCACCAGGGGUCUCAUGGCACAGACCCCCCUCCCCUUCACCCUGCUUUGAGCUGCAAUAUGGUCACAAGCUGCCUUAGCAGGAAGGGAUCAAGCAUUCAAAAGCAGCGCGGGAUCAAAGCUUUCUAAACACUCGGGGCAUUUGGCUUGGGAGGUUUUGUUCCAUCUAUUUAUAGCGGUGGGGCCAAGCGAGUUCAGAGUUGGAGGCAAACUUUUCCGAAGCUGGGGGACGUUUGGAGCGGGAGGGGGAAAGGGAACUCGGCCAGGCCCAUCUUCAACAUGCAUUGACUCCUUCCCUUAGGUAUGUGUUGCUCUCCAUGACACACUAACAACAAGCCUGCAUAGCAGAGCCUGGCUGAGGCUGCAAGGAUUGAGGCAAAAAUGUGAAUUGGCUGGGAAUGGGAACAUGAAAUAAAGAGCUUCCAAACAGCAAAGACAUGGUGUUUGAAAGUGAAAAUUGUUUCCUUACCAACGUGCUUUCACCCUUGGGUCAACAUCCUUCAAUUAUAAGUAUGCUUGUGUUGUUUUCCAGGGGAAAGCUGGUGAGGAUUCCAGGGCAAAAUAAGGCUAAGGGUAUCCUGAAGCAUAUGCUAUGUUUAUAAAUGGAGGGGAGGGAUCUUCUCAUCUACAAGAAGAAAUUUUUGUGGUGUAAUUGAAGAACAUGUUGGUUUUCUGUGCUACACCCUGUAGGCAAAAUCAGGCUUUAACUGCAAGCAAGCAAACCAAUGAGCAUACAGGUGAGAUUGUGCAAUGUCCGCGCCAUCGCCCUUGCGGGGCAUGCAGGCAAUGGCUGGGAUUUUCCUGCAUCUACCAAGUGAGUGGUGCUGGCACUGGUUAAUACUGAGGGGCUGGGGAAGUAAUCCUUCGGGGAGUGCUGCAUGAUCUCCGAUGGUUUUAGAGAGAGAAUUCUGUGAGCUGGGAGGUAGGAGCGACAGCAGUGAUACAAAGCUCGUUGGGAUAGAACACGAGGUCUUUGAGCUAGAGGAGCAAUAACAUACAAUAAAGUAGGACUUUGAUGUCUGGAGGUGGCAGAGAAGAGUCACCACCUGAAUGCUGGCAUGCAAAAGGCAGAUGCACAUUUAGAAUAUCAGGUUGGAAAAGGCCACUAAAAUCAAGUCCGACUGCCAACCCAUCACCACCAUGCCCAUUAACUAUGGCCUUCCGUGCCACAUCUAUGUAUUUCUUGGGGAUUCUCGUGGUGGUGUCUCUCCGUUGACAUUAAAACCUCCAGCUCAGGACCCACCAAGAUGUCUGCUGGAACAGAGGGUGCAGAUCUGACCGUCCUUAUUCCAGAAAAUGUCAGCUGGGGGCGAGCACAUUGCAAAUGAAGGUGCAGGAGGCAUGAGGACAGGAGGUGAUUGUCCCUCAGCUUUCCAGCUUGGCAGCGGCAGGCGCUGAGCCCAGUUUCCACCCCUGCCAGGCAGAAGAAAAUGUUCUUCUCCUAUUUGCCUCCUAAUGAUGAUGGUGACGGUGCUCCUCUUGCAUUGUGUUUGUCCUUAAUGCUGAAAGACGGUUCUUGUGCUUGGUGCUAGUGUUCCCAGCCCUUGGCUUGGGCAGGGUAUGCCAGCCAACUGGACAACCAUUCGUUCCUCUGAGAGCCUGUCUGUUCUGCAAUUAACAGACAAAAUGCCCACCACUGUGGCUGGAAAAAAAAAAGUUUUAAUUAAAAUCCUUUGGUGUUGGCCUUGACCGGACUGGAGAGUGAACAGGAGGAGGGCAGGAGGCCCAGGUCAUGUCUUGGGCCACCCCAGCAGAGCAUCCCUGAGCUGGGGCUGAACACAGGGCAGGGCCUGGGUUUUAAUUGCUUUUUUUUCUUUUUUUCCUAUUUUCCCUUGGGUGACCCAUCCAAGGGAUGGUCACAAGCAGAUAGGAUACUGCCAACCGUCCUCAGGUCCUUUGUGUCUUAAUGAAGAGCCAUGAAUAGGAGUUCACAUCACACACAAACGAAGACACCUCACCCUUUUCCCUAAUGAGUGUCACUCUUAAAGUGCUUUUGUCAUGGGCUUUGCUUGGCUUGUAGAGGUGCCUGGGGCCCUGUCUCCUAGGCUGCUGUCACCUUCCCCAUCUCCCAUGGCCAGCAGGAAGGUGACAUGGCAGACACCGUUUCAGGACCAGUAAUGUGUGUGGUUCCCCAACUCCACUGCUACAGUUUCCUUCCUCUGGGGAAAGCCCAGGAAAUUCGUGGAAGCAUCACCAAAUAAGCCUCAGGAAGCAAGAAGGGUCUCCAUGUCAUCCUGCUUGCUUACGUGAUAGCCAGCUUUCUGGGCCUUUUUCUGUUCCCUCUGCUCAGGACAGAGUGAUGGAUUUUCUGGUUCUCAUGCUAGUAAGUAAGAAAGAUUAAUCAUAUCAUCACUAAGGUUGGAAGGGACUAUUAAGAUCAUCUAGUCUAACUCCAACCCAUCCCCAUCAUGCCCACUAAGCUACGUCCCUUGUGCAGCAUGGAGUGGCCAUCCAGCACUGUGGCAAGGGAAAGGGUUUUACUUUUCAUUUGGGCUCUGGCCUGGAGAAAUCACUGGUCUUAUACAAGUUUAAAAACAAAAAUAGAUCCUCUUCUGCUGCCGUUUAAAUGCUUCUCUCUUGCCUUAGGUUGUGAUUUUGUGCUGUGCAGUCUGGGCACCGCGGGAGCUCCUCAGCCCAUGCUGGUGAAGGAGGUGACAUCAAGGCAAACCGAGAGCUUGGUGGAUGGAUUUGGGAUGGAUUGCUGCAUGGCACAGCACGAGCCCAUCCCUCAGAGCCAGGACCAUUCCCUGUCGGUGGCAAUGUCCAACCCCCAUGAGUGGGAUAUGGCACGGAGGAUGGCAGCUCAGGGCAUGGCAGCAGCAGGGGCAUCCCAGGCGUUUGGCAGCCGAACGGUGAUUUGGGCAUGCGGGGGAAGAGGAGCACAACUUUGGGCAUCCCAACACGAGGGCUGAUAUUUGGCCCCUGGCCGGGAACACGGACCACCUCGCCAAGCUGCUGUUCCCAUUUGUCAUUCAGCGCUAAGGAAAUCUGCGCCAUUCUCUGU
ensembl:lncRNA